rnacentral:tRNA from 1 species
GGAGCUGUGUCUGAAUCUAGGAGCCACUUUGAUAGAGUGGAAUAUGAGGGCGAAAACCCCUCCAACUCUUC